UCUGUAAGCCGUCGAAGGUGGACUGUGAGGUCUGCUGGAGGUAUCAGAAGUGCGAAUGCUGACAUAAGUAACGAUAAUGCGGGUGAAAAACCCGCACGCCGGAAGACCAAGGGUUCCUGUCCAACGUUAAUCGGGGCAGGGUGAGUCGACCCCUAAGGCGAGGCCGAAAGGCGUAGUCGAUGGGAAACAGGUUAAUAUUCCUGUACUUGGUGUUACUGCGAAGGGGGGACGGAGAAGGCUAUGUUAUCCGGGCGACGGUUGUCCCGGUUUAAGCGAGUAGGCUGAUGGUUUUGGUAAAUCCGGACUAUCUUAAGGCUGAGACGUGAUGACGAGGUUCUACGGAACUGAAGUAAUUGAUGCCAUGCUUCCAGGAAAAGCCUCUAAGCUCUAGGUAACAUUAAAUCGUACCCCAAACCGACACAGGUGAUCAGGUAGAGAAUACCAAGGCGCUUGAGAGAACUCGGGUGAAGGAACUAGGCAAAAUGGUGCCGUAACUUCGGGAGAAGGCACGCUGGCGCGUAGGUGAAGGGACUUGCUCCCGGAGCUGAAGCCAGUCGAAGAUACCAGCUGGCUGCAACUGUUUAUUAAAAACACAGCAC
rnacentral:rRNA from 11 species